GAUAAAGAUAGAGGUGCGGUUUUGAUCAGUACCGCCGGCUAGGCGCCAAGCCGCAAACGCCGGUGGGAAAGGCAACGCCGCCGAAGGGGACGCCUUUGGCAUAGGGGCCCCUGGGCGCAGGCCUGAACAAGGCUGCGACUGUCAUCAUGUGACAUGGUGGAGAGCUAUCGGAUCU
rfam:Clostridium sp. ATCC 29733 genomic scaffold Scaffold18, whole genome shotgun sequence.